UACGUAGGGGGCGAGCGUUGUCCGGAAUUAUUGGGCGUAAAGAGCGUGUAGGCGGUUCGGUAAGUCUGCCGUGAAAACCUGGGGCUCAACCCCGGGCGUGCGGUGGAUACUGCCGGGCUAGAGGGUGGUAGAGGCGAGUGGAAUUCCCGGUGUAGCGGUGAAAUGCGUAGAUAUCUGGAGGAACACCGGUGGCGAAGGCGGCAUCCUGGACCGGUAUUGACACUGAGGCGCGAAAGCCAGGGAGCAAACGGG
rnacentral:rRNA from 1 species